rnacentral:rRNA from 1 species
ACGGAGGGUGCAAGCGUUAUCCGGAUUCAUUGGGUUUAAAGGGUGCGUAGGCGGUGACAUAAGUCAGUGGUGAAAUUAUCGGGCUUAACCUGAUGACUGCCAUAGAUACUGUGUUACUUGAGUCAUAUCGACGCGAGAGGAAUGCGACAAGUAGCGGUGAAAUGCUUAGAUAUGUCGCAGAACACCGAUAGCGAAGGCAUCUCGCGAGGUAUAGACUGACGCUGAGGCACGAAAGCGUGGGGAUCAAACAG